UACGAAGGGGGCUAGCGUUGUUCGGAAUUACUGGGCGUAAAGCGCGCGCAGGCGGUCUUCCAAGUCAGUGGUGAAAGCCCGGAGCUCAACUCCGGAACUGCCAUUGAAACUGUGAGACUUGAGUACGAGAGAGGUGAGUGGAAUUCCCAGUGUAGAGGUGAAAUUCGUAGAUAUUGGGAAGAACACCGGUGGCGAAGGCGGCUCACUGGCUCGUAACUGACGCUCAGGCGCGGACAGCGUGGGGAUCAAACAGG
rnacentral:rRNA from 1 species